UACGUAGGGCGCAAGCGUUGUCCGGAAUUAUUGGGCGUAAAGAGCGUGUAGGCGGUCCGGUAAGUCCGCUGUGAAAGUCGGGGGCUCAACCCUCGAAUGCCGGUGGAUACUGUCGGGCUAGAGUGCGGAAGAGGCGAGUGGAAUUCCUGGUGUAGCGGUGAAAUGCGCAGAUAUCAGGAGGAACACCUAUUGCGAAGGCAGCUCGCUGGGACGUAACUGACGCUGAGACGCGAAAGCGUGGGGAGCAAACAGG
rnacentral:rRNA from 1 species